rnacentral:rRNA from 1 species
GAUGAACGCUGGCGGCGUGCCUAAUACAUGCAAGUCGAGCGAACAGAUAAGGAGCUUGCUCCUUUGACGUUAGCGGCGGACAGGUGAGUAAAACGUGGGUAACCUACCUAUAAGACUGGGAUAACUUCGGGAAACCGGAGCUAAUACCGGAUAACAUUUGGAACCGCAUGGUUCUAAAGUGAAAGAUGGUUUUGCUAUCACUUAUAGAUGGACCCGCGCCGUAUUAGCUAGUUGGUAAGGUAACGGCUUACCAAGGCAACGAUACGUAGCCGACCUGAGAGCUUGAUCGGCCACACUGGAACUGAGACACGGUCCAGACUCCUACGGGAGGCAGCAGUAGGGAAUCUUCCGCAAUGGGCGAAAGCCUGACGGAGCAACGCCGCGUGAGUGAUGAAGGGUUUCGGCUCUUAAAACUCUGUUAUUAGGGAAGAACAAACGUGUAAGUAACUGUGCACGUCUUGACGGUACCUAAUCAGAGAGCCACGGCUAACUACGUG